UACGUAGGUGGCAAGCGUUAUCCGGAUCUAUUGGGUUUAAAGGGUGCGUAGGCGGUAUAAUAAGUCAGUGGUUAAAGGUAGCAGCUUAACUGUUUUACAUGCCACUGAUACUGUUGAACUUGAGUUGACAGAAGGCAGAUAGAAUUUCUGGUGUAGCGGUGAAAAGCUUAGAUACCAGAAGGAAUACCGAUUGCGAGGGCAGUCUGCUGCAGUCACACUGACGCUGAGGCACGAAAGUGCGGGGAUCAAACAGG
rnacentral:rRNA from 1 species